rnacentral:lncRNA from 1 species
GGAAAAGGAAACGAAAAACAGAAACAAAAACAAGAGAGCAUUAGUAACUCCAACAGAAAUCACAUAAAUAAUUAUCUAAUCAUAAACCAUAAACCGUAAAUAAAAGGGCAUGCAGUAAUUUCGACCAGUUACUAUCAUGAAGGGGCACAAUACAAUACACAAAUCAAGGCUCUCCCAACCCCGGGAAAGAAGUACGAAAAAUACUAGGAUCCCCUUGUUGGAAGAGGAUUGCUAUUAAUAUUUGGAGGGAGGCUUCUAGGCUAAGGGAAUUUUGGAAGAGUAGAAAGAUUUUGGAGAAGAGAAACUUUUAUUACUCAAACUUGUUUUUUUGAUUUUUUUGGCUUGAUACAAAAUGAGCAAUCCUACACCUAUUUAUACUUGGCCACUUCCU